UACGAAGGGGGCUAGCGUUGUUCGGAAUCACUGGGCGUAAAGGGCGCGUAGGCGGCUGUUCAAGUCGGGGGUGAAAGCCUGUGGCUCAACCACAGAAUUGCCUUCGAUACUGGACGGCUGGAGACCGGAAGAGGUCAGUGGAACUGCGAGUGUAGAGGUGAAAUUCGUAGAUAUUCGGAAGAACACCAGUGGCGAAGGCGGCUCACUGGUCCGGUACUGACGCUGAGGUGCGAAAGCGUGGGGAGCAAACAGG
rnacentral:rRNA from 1 species